AGACAACAAGGCAAUGCUAACUUUAACAACUGGAACAGAAGUUACAGUGGAACCAAGAGCCCGGGCUGAAUCCCAACCGAAGGUCUUCGUCCUGAGGAACCAGAGCUUCGCUGCUUGCCUGGUGAAGGAUUUCUACCCCAAGAAGCUGAGCCUGACUUUGUCCGCACCCAGCUCCCCACUCACAGAGCCUCUGCAGGCGACAGCCCCCACUGCCCAGGGAACGUACAGCGCUGUCGGGAUUGCACAGUUCGGCAAGGUGGAGACGGUGACCUGCUCUGUGCAACAUGGCUCCAUGCAGAUAAACAUGACCGAAGGGCAGGAUGCAGCCCCAGCACAUCCCGGUUCAGAAAGAUCCAGACAGUCUGACCCUGCGGGUCCAGAAAGAAGAUUCUCAGCACAGUCUGGUUCAGAAAAUCCCCAAGAAUCUGUCCUCACCUGUUCAGAAUGGAGCUUCACAGAAGACCGAGAGUGGGGCAACAUGCUGUCCGUUGUUAUUCUGGCACUGAGAGUAUUGCUCGUGAAAAGCAUCGCACUCAACUUUCUCCUGACAAUCCAGGCCUCUUGUUGCUGAGGCUGCUGGAGAAUCCUGAUUGCGACACCACCACCUGCUUUCCUUUGUUUCCACUGGGCUUGAAUCACUUCCCUCCCCCGUGUCUGGAACAAAAACCUGCUGCUGAUUCAU